rnacentral:rRNA from 1 species
GGUUAAGCGACUAAGCGUACACGGUGGAUGCCCUGGCAGUCAGAGGCGAUGAAGGGCGUGCUAAUCUGCGAUAAGCGCCGGUAAGGUGAUAUGAACCGUUAUAACCGGCGAUACCCGAAUGGGGAAACCCAGUGUGAUUCGUCACACUAUCAUUAACUGAAUCCAUAGGUUAAUGAGGCGAACCGGGGGAACUGAAACAUCUAAGUACCCCGAGGAAAAGAAAUCAACCGAGAUUCCCCCAGUAGCGGCGAGCGAACGGGGAGGAGCCCAGAGCCUGAAUCAGCAUGUGUGUUAGUGGAAGCGUCUGGAAAGGCGCGCGAUACAGGGUGACAGCCCCGUACACAAAAGCGCAUGUGCUGUGAGCUCGAUGAGUAGGGCGGGACACGUGGUAUCCUGUCUGAAUAUGGGGGGACCAUCCUCCAAGGCUAAAUACUCCUGACUGACCGAUAGUGAACCAGUACCGUGAGGGAAAGGCGAAAAGAACCCCGGCGAGGGGAGUGAAAAAGAACCUGAAACCGUGUACGUACAAGCAGUGGGAGCACCCUUUGGGGUGUGACUGCGUACCUUUUGUAUAAUGGGUCAGCGACUUAUAUUCUGUAGCAAGGUUAACCGAAUAGGGGAGCCGGAGGGAAACCGAGUCUUAACCGGGCGUUAAGUUGCAGGGUAUAGACCCGAAACCCGGUGAUCUAGCCAUGGGCAGGUUGAAGGUUGGGUAACACUAACUGGAGGACCGAACCGACUAAUGUUGAAAAAUUAGCGGAUGACCUGUGGCUGGGGGUGAAAGGCCAAUCAAACCGGGAGAUAGCUGGUUCUCCCCGAAAGCUAUUUAGGUAGCGCCUCGUGAAUUCAUCUCCGGGGGUAGAGCACUGUUUCGGCUAGGGGGCCAUCCCGGCUUACCAACCCGAUGCAAACUGCGAAUACCGGAGAAUGUUAUCACGGGAGACACACGGCGGGUGCUAACGUCCGUCGUGAAGAGGGAAACAACCCAGACCGCCAGCUAAGGUCCCAAAGUCAUGGUUAAGUGGGAAACGAUGUGGGAAGGCCCAGACAGCCAGGAUGUUGGCUUAGAAGCAGCCAUCAUUUAAAGAAAGCGUAAUAGCUCACUGGUCGAGUCGGCCUGCGCGGAAGAUGUAACGGGGCUAAACCAUGCACCGAAGCUGCGGCAGCG